rnacentral:piRNA from 1 species
UCUCUUUUGGAUGUUUCCAUCCUGU